UAUCCUGGCUGGCUUGGGGUAGCCCUGCUAAUCUGUCCUGCCCAGAGGAAGCUGGCAGCCAUUGAAAAUUCAUAUAUGACCAGUACAUCUGAUCAGAGAAUGGACAUCCCAUCUGACCUGCUUGUGACCUCUGUCCUUUGCCUGUGACCACAUGUACCUUCUGAGGACAAACAGGCCCUGAGGAAAUGAGACAUUGAUUUCCAGCUGUGUAAGCGUAAUUUCUCUUCAUCUUUAAACAAUCAAUGCAACCACAGAUACAAGGGACAUUGCAGAGACAGAGGAGGUCUGUUUAUGGUCAUGCUGGUGGCAGAGUGGAAAGGAAUACACCCAUGUCCACACGCACCAUGGCUGAGGAUGGAGGGACAUGCUCUUCCCCCUCAUCAGCUCACCACCAACAGCCUGGUUAUUCCGCUUGGCUGUGAGCCAUCUUGGGGGAAGGAGUGCUGCCGCUUUGGGUGGAUUUCUGCGAGUUCAGAUUUCAGCUGGACCUUGCACAACAGGAUGGUGGGAAAGUCCCUGGGAGCACAAUGGUCAGUGGCCGCCUUAAGUGGUGGACUUCCAGUUGCGGUGGAUUGCCAGUUGCCGAUUGCCCUCAUUGUAGCCAGCUGCUUUGAAGCCUCCUGGAUGUCUUGGGGAACUGCACUGUGAUCAGCUGUUGGCUGCGGAAGGGUGGUGCUGGCUCCUGAGGCACAUCCCAGCCAGGGGUGGUUUCAAACAACUUGCCCAUCUCUAGCCUCUCUGAACUCUAGAUAACCCUGUAACCAUUUCCACCCACACCAGAGCGGAGCCUUUCCUUGGUGGGCUCCGGGCGAAGGGCUGUGCUUUAGUUGGUGCAAACGCAGCUCAUUUGCAUGGAGCUUUGCUUCUGAUUGGUGCUGGCAGCCUUGCCACACCCCCUUUCUGGAUAUAUAAGUCUGCCUUCAGGCUGCAUUCUUGAGUCAGCUGAGAGGCUGUGCGGAACUUGUGACCGAAACCAGCGAAAGACUAGUCCAGACCUGCAAGAAACAAUAAAGCAGAGCAAGUGGAGAGAUUAGAGGCUCUGAAGCCUCAAGAAGCAGGGUCCCAGCCUUUGAAACUCUGAGACGAACAAGGUUACCACAGCAAUGCAGAGCUGGACUGUUGGGGUUGUUACAGCCCAAGGCAGUGAGCCUCUAGCCUGAGCACCUGGAGCCCUGAGUCUCUGGCUUCUACACCUCCCCUCCAUCCCAACUUGCUUUGUAGCUCAGACUGGCUUCAGACUUGCCAUCCUCCUGCCUCAGCCUCCCGA